GCUUUGUCGCCCUUUCCGUCAUCUACAAGUUUCCUGAGACAGGGUGGACAAUUCCCGGAUUGGUGAUUGGUACAACCAAAUGAAAGGGGGCAGUGAAAGAGUCUUCUAGAAUAAAAGGCUUGAAGAUAAAUAUUGGAUCUGCUUUUUCUCCUCAAGAAAGUCACAGAAAGAAAUUGAUCUCCCUUCAAUCCAAAAGCAAAGGCAGAGUUGUUGUUUCCUCUUUUGUUAAUUCUAAGUUGCUGCAGC